UGGGGUCAAAUGAAGAUCUGAAGCAUAGUUCAUCUGAUCACUCUGUGAUUUUAAAAAUGUCUUUCGCUCCUAUCUGAUGAUCCUU
rnacentral:snoRNA from 1 species